rnacentral:rRNA from 1 species
AACGCGAAGAACCUUACCUAAGCUUGACAUCCUUUUGACCGAUGCCUAAUCGCAUCUUUCCCUUCGGGGACAGAAGUGACAGGUGGUGCAUGGUUGUCGUCAGCUCGUGUCGUGAGAUGUUGAGUUAAGUCCCGCAACGAGCGCAACCCUUGCCUUUAGUUGCCAGCAUUAAGUUGGGCACUCUAGAGGGACUGCCAGGGAUAACCUGGAGGAAGGUGGGGAUGACGUCAAAUCAUCAUGCCCCUUAUGCUUAGGGCUACACACGUGCUACAAUGGGUGGUACAGAGGGCAGCCAAGUCGUGAGGCGGAGCUAAUCCCUUAAAGCCAUUCUCAGUUCGGAUUGUAGGCUGAAACUUGCCUACAUGAAGCUGGAGUUACUAGUAAUCGCAGAUCAGAAUGCUGCGGUGAAUGCGUUCCCGGGCCUGUACACACCG